rnacentral:rRNA from 1 species
AAGUCGUAACAAGGUUUCCGUAGGUGAACCUGCGGAAGGAUCAUUAUAGGGAGGGGCUUUGAGCCCCAGGGGGCUGCGUCCCCCGUCUCUAUACCCGUGAAUAUCUACACUUCCGUUGCUUUGGCGGGACUUUAGGGUAACACCUAUGCCAGUGCGCUGGAGAGCGCCCGUCAAUCGCCCCCAACGCUCGUGUUGUCUUGGUACGUCUGAGUCAUAAUUGAAUUAAAACAAAACUUUCAACAACGGAUCUCUUGGUUCUGGCAUCGAUGAAGAACGCAGCGAAAUGCGAUAACUAAUGUGAAUUGCAGAAUUCAGUGAACCAUCGAAUCUUUGAACGCACCUUGCGCUCCUUGGUAUUCCGAGGAGCAUGCCUGUUUGAGUGUCAUUAAAUUCUCAACCUUCCAGCUUUUAUUAGCUUGGUUAGGCUUGGAUGUGGGGGUUGUGGGCUUCAUUAAUGAGGUCAGCUCUCCUUAAAUGCAUUAGCGGAACUUUUGUGGACCGUCUAUUGGUGUGAUAAUUAUCUACGCCGUGGAUGUGAAGCAGCUUUAUAAAGUUCAGCUCUAAUCGUCCAUUGACUUGGACAACUUUUGACAAUUUGACCUCAAAUCAGGUAGGACUACCCGCUGAACUUAAGCAUAUCAAUAAGCGGAGGAAAAGAAACUAACAAGGAUUCCCCUAGUAACUGCGAGUGAAGCGGGAAAAGCUCAAAUUUAAAAUCUGGCAGUCUUUGGCUGUCCGAGUUGUAAUCUAGAGAAGUAUUAUCCGCGCUGGACCGUGUACAAGUCCCCUGGAAUGGGGCGUCAUAGAGGGUGAGAAUCCCGUCUUUGACACGGACUGCCAGGGCUUUGUGAUGUGCUCUCAAAGAGUCGAGUUGUUUGGGAAUGCAGCUCAAAAUGGGUGGUAAAUUCCAUCUAAAGCUAAAUAUUGGCGAGAGACCGAUAGCGAACAAGUACCGUGAGGGAAAGAUGAAAAGAACUUUGGAAAGAGAGUUAAACAGUACGUGAAAUUGCUGAAAGGGAAACGCUUGAAGUCAGUCGCGUUGGCCAGGGAUCAACCUUGCUUUUUUGCUUGGCUUACUUUCUGGUCGAUGGGUCAGCAUCAAUUUUGACUGGUGGAAAAAGUUCAAGGGAAUGUGGCAUCUUCGGAUGUGUUAUAGCCUUUGUUCACAUACAUCAGUUGGGAUUGAGGAACUCAGCACGCCGCAAGGCCGGGUUUUUAACCACGUACGUGCCUAGGAUGCUGGCAUAAUGGCUUUAAUCGACC